UUAUCUUUGUUGCUUUAAGUUUUCCUCUUCACAUCUCUCUCUCCCAUAAACCGAAACAACACAUCAAUGCCCAAAGAAUUCCCAAUUAACAACCUAGAGGGAAACACACACACAAGCAGUCUUUAGCUACUAUAGUUUGAUUCAUUUCAUUCAUUCUAGCUAGAGUAAGAAACAAAGAUCAGAAGUUAAGGGUCAGUCGCUCAAUUUCUCAUAGAAAAAAAAAAGAACAAAAGAAAAGAGUUCUCCAUUAAUUUUUUAACGCUCGAUCAGUGAGCUAUUACGCACUCUUUCGAGACUGAUCAUGGAAGGAGGAGGAGGUGAUGAUCAUCUCCACCAUCACCAUCACCACCAGCAGCAUCAUCACCAGUACCGUCCUAACAACUUCCCUUUCCAAUUACUGGAAAAGAAAGAAGACGAACCUUGCUCCAGCUCCUCAGCAGCUAAUAAUAACUAUCCUUCUCUCACCAUUUCCCCAUCCGAGAUAAAUACGAAUACAAACCCUAAUAGUAACAACCUCCAGAUUACAGCUGCUUCCACUGAGUCUCCCAAAAAGCCAGCUCCGAAGAGAACUUCCACCAAAGACCGCCACACUAAGGUUGAUGGCCGUGGUAGACGUAUACGUAUGCCAGCCCUUUGUGCCGCUAGGGUUUUCCAGCUCACUCGUGAACUCGGUCACAAGUCCGAUGGCGAAACCAUUGAAUGGCUUCUCCAACAAGCUGAACCUUCCGUUAUAGCAGCCACAGGAACUGGUACAAUUCCGGCUAAUUUCACGUCACUCAACAUUUCGUUACGUAGUUCAGGAUCUAGCAUGUCCGUACCAUCUCAGCUACGAUCCUCGUAUUUCAAUCCGAAUUAUUCACUCUCCCAAAGACGAGGUUUGUUUCAGGGUAUUGGUUUGUCAUCCGAUAGAUCUGCAACUACGUUGUUGAAUUUUCAAACCGGACAUUCAAACCCUAGUAGUAUGCAUCAGUUGCAGCAAGCUAAACAAGAAAUGCGGGACAAUUCGUUAGAUUUAACGGAGACAAGUAUAGAAGAAAGUCUAAGUCGAAAAAGGAGACAAGAAAUAGACUUGCAACAACAAAAUGAACAACAAAUGGGGAGUUAUUUGUUACAGUCGUCAAGUAGUGGAACUAUACCGACAAGUCAUUCUUCUGUUCCAUCUAAUUUUUGGAUGUUGACGAAUAAUAAUAGCCAAGUUUUGGGGGGGGAUCCAGUAUGGACGUUUCCAUCGGUUAGUAACACUGGUGCUGCGGCUGCUGCUUUGUAUAGAAGCACAAUGUCAAGUGGAUUACAUUUUAUGAAUUUUCCAACCCCAGUGGCACUAUUGCCAACUCAGCAACUAGGCGGUGGCGGUGGUGGUGGCAGUAGUGGUACACUAGGAGAAGGUCAACUUGGCAUGGUCACUGGACUAAACCCGUAUAGGCAAUGUUCAGGUGUAUCGGAAUCUCAAGCGAGUGGAUCACAUUCACAUCACGGUGGUGGUGGUGCUGAUGAUCGGCAUGAUUCAACAAGCCACCAUAAUUCCUAAAAAAAAUUGACUGAUCGAUCAUCAGAAGAUUGUUAUAUUAGUCCUCUUAUUGUGUUGUGUGGUAAAAGUUUGGAUGGUUAAACACACACGUGAGUUGGCAGGUCUGCACACUAUUAAAAGAUCACGAUUUUUUCACUGGAAAUUGUUCAGUGGCUAUUCGCAUGGAUAUUUUGAUUGACGCAGUGGGGAAAGAAAAAAUAGUAAUGUUUUCACACGGAACAAAUCAGGAAAUUUCCUAGCGUUUCAGUGUGAACCUGUUUCUCACCAUGAGUUUUUCCAGUGAAUUAGUUCGGUCGGUAUUAGGUGGAAAAAUCAUGUUUUGAAACAAAAAUUUUCCAUUGAUUCACGGUGGGAAAAGCUGUUGUUUCUAAUAGUGGCGGGGCGUGUGAGCAUGUUGAGUUGUCCCGCAGCGGCUGUUGAGGGAUGAUAAGAUUUCUUUGUAUGGUCUUGUACAAUUUUUACAUAGAUCAUAAGUUAGUUUUGUGAUUGAGUUGGACCGAAAUUUCAUUUCAUAUCAAUUUUCUCAUGUUAAAUUACUACCCU